rnacentral:rRNA from 1 species
AGAGUUUGAUCCUGGCUCAGGAUGAACGCUGGCGGCGUGCCUAAUACAUGCAAGUCGAGCGAAUGGAUUAAGAGCUUGCUCUUAUGAAGUUAGCGGCGGACGGGUGAGUAACACGUGGGUAACCUGCCCAUAAGACUGGGAUAACUCCGGGAAACCGGGGCUAAUACCGGAUAACAUUUUGAACCGCAUGGUUCGAAAUUGAAAGGCGGCUUCGGCUGUCACUUAUGGAUGGACCCGCGUCGCAUUAGCUAGUUGGUGAGGUAACGGCUCACCAAGGCAACGAUGCGUAGCCGACCUGAGAGGGUGAUCGGCCACACUGGGACUGAGACACGGCCCAGACUCCUACGGGAGGCAGCAGUAGGGAAUCUUCCGCAAUGGACGAAAGUCUGACGGAGCAACGCCGCGUGAGUGAUGAAGGCUUUCGGGUCGUAAAACUCUGUUGUUAGGGAAGAACAAGUGCUAGUUGAAUAAGCUGGCACCUUGACGGUACCUAACCAGAAAGCCACGGCUAACUACGUGCCAGCAGCCGCGGUAAUACGUAGGUGGCAAGCGUUA